AUUGAACGCUGGCGGCAGGCCUCACACAUGCAAGUCGAGCGAGCGGCGGGCGGGUGAGUCAUGUCUGGGAAACUGCCUGCUGGGGGUGGCUAACUACUGGAAACGCUAGCUACUAACGCAUACCAUCAGAUGUGCACCGGUGGGAUUAGCUAGUAGGGUGGGUAACGGCUCACCUAGGCGACGAUCCCUAGACGGUCUGAGAGGAUGAUCAGCCACACGGGAACUGAGACACGGUCCAGACGCCUACGGGAGGCAGCAGUGGGGAAUAUUGGACAAGGGGCGCAAGCCUGAUGCAGCCAUGCCGCGUGUGUGAAGAAGGCCUUCGGAUUGUAAAGCACUUUCAGUGGGGAGGCGUUACCAGCAGAAGAAGCACCGGCUAACUCCGUGCCAGCAGCCGCGGUAAUAC
rnacentral:rRNA from 1 species